CACUCUAGAGAGACUGCCAGGGAUAACCUGGAGGAAGGUGGGGAUGACGUCAAAUCAUCAUGCCCCUUAUGCUUAGGGCUACACACGUGCUACAAUGGGUAGUACAGAGGGUUGCCAAGCCGUAAGGUGGAGCUAAUCCCUUAAAGCUACUCUCAGUUCGGAUUGUAGGCUGAAACGCGCCUACAUGAAGCUGGAGUUACUAGUAAUCGCAGAUCAGAAUGCUGCGGUGAAUGCGUUCCCGGGUCUUGUACACACCGCCCGUCACACCACGGGAGUUGGAGACGCCCGAAGCCGAUUAUCUAACCUUUUGGAAGAAGUCGUCGAAGGUGGAAUCAAUAACUGGGGUGAAGUCGUAACAAGGUAGCCGUAUCGGAAGGUGCGGCUGGAUCACCUCCUUUCUAAGGAGA
rnacentral:rRNA from 1 species